CGAAAUCCCACUGCCGGGCCCUCUCUGGCCCCGGCAGUGCCCGGAAAAACGGGCAGCCCCGAGUCGCCCGCGGGCACGGCGGGCAGCAGCUGGCACACGCGCCCUGUGAACGGCUCUUCUCGUUGCAGGCAGGCCUGGGAGCGCGGCCCCCUCGGACCCUCCUUGGGGUCCCCCCGGGAGCACGGCCGCAUUGGGGCUCCAAAGCCUCGGCGGGCCCCAGCUGCUGCGGGGAGCUCAGAAGCAGGGACCGCAGCUCGCAGGAGCGCAGCAUCUCUCCUGAGCGAGCCAACGGCGGGAGCAGCAGCAAGCACAAAGGUGAUGGGUUUCCUCGCAGGCACGCGCACGUACGCACAGCGCACCGCCUCUCUGCACUACCUGUCUCGUCUUGUCUUACCCGUUUCUGGUGCCCCAGAAGAGCUGACCGGGGAGCAAAAACCAAACGCAUAGGGUAACAGACACAGAUAUGGGCAAAGCUUAGCUUCAAGCUGCUUGGGCUUGACACUGACCCAGAAGAACCAAGAAAGCAGAAGACAGGACUGAAACUGCUCAUUUUUUGGUGCCAGAUCACAGCAGGAUACAAGAUACCUGAGGACUAUCUUUUGUUUGCAGACUGCUGCAAGACAGAGGCACAAUCAUCUAUUGGACUUUUUGCAACAGUACUCCAAACUGAGUCCUGGGAAGGUGUGCUGCUGAUUCUUGUGAGUGCUGUGACCCUCAGAAAUGACUCCUUAGCACUGCUAUUCCCCUUCAACCUCUGCAAGAAGGGAUUCAUAGACAACAGACACAGAGCUUUUUCAUUAGUCCUCGUCCCUGUUGAUCUUGUUCAGCCACCUGAGCCCUCAAGCACCAAAUCCCUUCUGCUCCUCAGCCUGCGCUGGGACGGCCGCCUCGCUGGUAGGGAGCGUUCCGGAAAAUGCAGCCCUGCUUCUCCUGUACCCGGGACUUGGCUUUGCACCGUGCCAUGCAGCAGGAAGGCUUCCAAGCUUAUCGGCAGGGUUGCCAAGGGCUGGACAUGUUGUAAAGCAAGUAUCUCGAAGGAGAAAGAAGUGUCCCAUGCCAAACAGCUGUAG
rnacentral:lncRNA from 1 species